CCUACGUGAUGCAGCAGUGGGGAAUAUUGCACAAUGGGGGAAACCCUGAUGCAGCGACGCCGCGUGAGCGCUGAAGUAUUUCGGUAUGUAAAGCUCUAUCAGCAGGGAAGAAAAUGACGGUACCUGACUAAGAAGCCCCGGCUAACUACGUGCCAGCAUCCGCGGUAAUACGUAGGGGGCCAGCGUUAUCCGGAUUUACUGGGUGUAACGGGAGCGUAGACGGCUGUGCAAGCCCAAUGUGAAAGCCCGGGGCUCAACCCCGGGACUGCAUUUGAAACUGUGUGGCUGGAGUGUCGGAGAGGCAGGCGGAAUUCCUAGUGUAGCGGUGAAAUGCGUAGAUAUUAGGAGGAACACCAGUGGCGAAGGCGGCCUGCUGGACGAUGACUGACGUUGAGGCUCGAAAGCGUGGGGAGCAAACAGGAUUAGAUACCCGGGUAGUC
rnacentral:rRNA from 1 species